GGCAGGGGUGACCGUGUGAUCGGGGUGAUUCAACUCUCAACCAGGUGGUCCAGGCCGUGCAAAGAUAGGGGAAGAACACCUUCCAGGUUCCGCAGGACCCUGGACAUCGGGUGUGAAGUCUGCCGCCUUGAGGAAACCACUCCCGCAGACUUCUUUAACAGUGUGGCUUCCGUGUGCACUUGGCCUGGGCCCCCAUCUGUCACCCUCAGGAUUCCCGAUUCUGUCCUGUCUUGGACCUUCUGAAUCCUGGACCCCAUAAUCUGGGUUCCUAAUGACUGAAGUUCCAAUACUUUGGCCACCUGAUGUGAAGAGCCGACUCACCGGAAAAGACCCUGAUGCUGGGAAAGACUGAAGGCAGGAGGAGAAGGGGACGACAGAGGAUGGGAUGGUU